GCUGUAGCUCGGUGGAAGGGCAUCUGCUUUGCAUGCAGAAGGUCCCAGAUUCAAUCCCUGGCAUCUCCG